rnacentral:lncRNA from 1 species
UGUUCUCACCCUCUCACUAUUUUUCAGGUAGCUUGGGCGAUGAGGUCGGGACGGUGCGUGAGGACGAUAUUAGAUAGUAAGUUGGAGAUAGAGAUCCCGAUCUUACGGUAUCAGUUCUGGUUUGACACUUAUUAUAUAUAUGGGGUAGUAUAGCUUACCCCUGUACCUGCUAGUAUUUGUUCUUACGUAGUUCAGUUGAUGGUUUCAUUCGCGGAUUCUUAGAUGACGUAUUUAUGAGCUUUGUUUACUCAUGGUUUUUGGAAGAU